AUUUCUAAAUCGCUUAAUCCAUUUGGAACGGGGAACCCAUUAUUUGUGGCUUCUCUUUGCCGCUUGGGGUGAAUCCUACUAUUGUAGGUAGGGCUACUCUUUAGCCCAAACCCGACAGCUAACUCCGUAAGCGUUAUGAGAGAGAAAUA
rfam:Paenisporosarcina sp. HGH0030 genomic scaffold acAqH-supercont1.1, whole genome shotgun sequence.